UAAAGGGCCGCGGUAUAUUGACCGUGCGAAGGUAGCAUAAUCAUUAGUCUUUUAAUUGAAGGCUGGAAUGAAUGGUUGAACAAAAAAUAUCCUGUCUCACUAUUAAAAUUAAAAUUUGACUUUUAAGUAAAAAGGCUUAAAUAAUAUAGAAUGACGAUAAGACCCUAUAAAGCUUUAUAUUAAAAAAAUAAUUAAUAAGUUUGAAUUUAAAAGUUAUUUAUUUUAAAGAUAUUAUGUUGGGGCGACAAAAAUAAAAAUUGUAACUGUUUAUUUAUUAAAAACUACAAUAAAAGAAAAAGUGAUCCUUUAGUAAAGAUUAAAAGAUUAAGUUACUUUAGGGAUAACAGCGUAAUCUUUUUUAAGAGUUCAUAUCGACAAAAAGACUUGCGACCUCGAUGUUGAAUUAAGAAGUCCUUUUGGUGUAGC
rnacentral:rRNA from 1 species